ACUGGGAUGAUGCAAAAACUAGGACUCAUGUCCAUUGAUUUUUCUCAAAGAUGAUCUAUAACCAGCUACUUUUGACUAGU